CAAAACUUUUCAGCUAGAGUUUGAUAGAGGAAAGCAGAAUUUCUAGUGUAGAGGUGAAAUUCGUAGAUAUUAGAAAGAAUACCAAUUGCGAAGGCAGCUUUCUGGAUCAUUACUGACACUGAGGAACGAAAGCAUGGGUAGCGAAGAGGAUUAGAUACCCUCGUAGUCCAUGCCGUAAACGAUGUGUGUUAGACGUUGGAAAUUUAUUUUCAGUGUCGCAGCGAAAGCGAUAAACACACCGCCUGGGGAGUACGACCGCAAGGUUAAAACUCAAAUGAAUUGACGGGGACCCGCACAAGUAGUGGAGCAUGUGGUUUAAUUCGAAGAUACGCGCAGAACCUUACCAACACUUGACAUGUUCGUCGCGACUCUAAGAGAUUAGAGUUUUCGGUUCGGCCGGACGAAACACAGGUGCUGCAUGGCUGUCGUCAGCUCGUGUCGUGAGAUGUUGGGUUAAGUCCCGCAACGAGCGCAACCCUCACUUUUAGUUGCCGUCAUUUAGUUGGGCACUCUGAAAGAACUGCCAGUGAUAAGCUGGAGGAAGGUGGGGAUGACGUCAAGUCCUCAUGGCCCUUACGUGUUGGGCUACACACGUGCUACAAUGGUAUCUACAACAGGAAGCAAAACAGCGAUGUUAAGCAAAUCCUUAAAAGAUACCUCAGUUCGGAUUGCACUCUGCAACUCGAGUGCAUGAAGCUGGAAUUACUAGUAAUCGUGGAUCAGCGUGCCACGGUGAAUGCGUUCCCGGGUCUUGUACACACCGCCCGUCACACCAUGGGAGUUGGUUCUACCUUAAGGCAAGGCUUUAAAACCUUGACCACGGUAUAGUCAGCGACUGGGGUGAAGUCGUAACAAGGUAACCG
rnacentral:rRNA from 1 species